rnacentral:rRNA from 1 species
UACGGAGGGAGCUAGCGUUGUUCGGAAUUACUGGGCGUAAAGCGCACGUAGGCGGCUCAGCAAGUCAGGGGUGAAAUCCCGGGGCUCAACCCCGGAACUGCCCUUGAAACUGCUAAGCUAGAAUCUUAGAGAGGCGAGUGGAAUUCCGAGUGUAGAGGUGAAAUUCGUAGAUAUUCGGAAGAACACCAGUGGCGAAGGCGACUCGCUGGACAAGUAUUGACGCUGAGGUGCGAAAGCGUGGGGAGCAAACAGGG